CCCUAGCCCUGAUAGAAGUGGAAAUCCUUUUUAUUUUUUCUUUAAAAAUAAAAAGAUUGAAAUGGAUAGCAGGAAAUAGC
rnacentral:sRNA from 2 species